GAGGUGCAGGGGAUACAGUUACUCAGGCCAUUGGGUUGGUUCAUAUAAGUCCCAUUCACACAGGGGCUGCACCGUGUGCCUGACUGCUGUGUGCAGUCUCUUUGAACAACUGAACCUUCAUGACAUUUCAGACAGCAUCUCCCGUCCCUUGUUUCAUAUUCCUCAGGAAGACAGCACAUCACUGGUGCCAUGAGUGCAGCAA